UUAAACAGUCGACAUGAACUGAGUGACGUAUUAGUCGUCAUACAGACAAGCACACCGACAUCUGGGAAGAUUUACGGGAAGUUUUAGUGGGAUCUCAACGGCACGCACCUAUUCAUCGACCAAGAAAAUAGUGGCUAUGUUGAGGGAAAAAAUAGACGAUCUCAUGGAUGAAAACACAUUCUCAGUUUUGAAUUAAACAGUCGUCAUCAACUGAGUGACAUCCAGUCAUAUGGGCGCGUGCCGACAUCUGGGAAGUUUUACGUUGUCGUGUCUAGCACCUAGACCAUUUACUUGAAAGUCAAUGGUUCUUGAGUCUGGAGUGCUGAAUGGUAACUCGUACAUGUAGCAACCGGUGAAAACUGGUGUGCAAAUGAAUGAUUUUACUGGCGGGGAUAAUGCUGGCCUGCUCUAUAUACAUGUAAGGCACAUUCUGAAGGACUGAAGAAUUUGUGCCAAACUCGGAGGUGGAAACAUCAGGAACAAAACAGUGUCCUUUGUUGGAUGGGCCGUUUUCUGCUGCAAUAGUCACAACUUCUAAGACAGUGACGAAUCAAUGCCGGACCCUCAGUUGAAGUGAAAAUAGGUUUGAGGAUCGCAUCUUCAAACUUGAGAUGCAAGGAGCCUGCAUCAGUUGGCCCAGCUAGAGCUGACACUGAAGAGGAGUUGCAGAACACGCUGCGGUUCUGUGUGCCGGAAGUCAUUCAGCGUUUGAAAAGACUGAUGAGAAUGCGGUUGAUCAGAUUGUCAACGAGGAGUGUGAAAAACUGGAGAAGAGACUUGGAGGGGGAGCUAACGUGAGCUUGAACACCCAGGAUUUGCAGAGAGUAGAACCGGACUUCGCUGUUUUGGGCAGAGAUGUCAUCAGAUCAGUCGCAAGUUAAAUCACAAGUCAAGUCAGGAGGACAUUGAGCAAUAACUGAGCGAUGCCUCCGUCACGGUUCGUUUGAAUGUAAUUUCAUUUGAU